CCUCGGUUUUGUUUUCCAGGCAGCACAUGGCUGCGCACCGACACAGGGAACUUCAUCGAUCACAUGACACAGGUCACGCUUUGAUGGAGAGAGUUGGGACUGAAGCCAUGUUUGACAUGUGGAUUAGCCUGACUUCAUGAAGUCACUUGAAUUUGCGAGCAGUUUGAGCUGGAACCAUUUUCCAAACAGAAGUCUUUCCCCUGGCAAGGAACUGGUGACGCAUGAUCAUGGAGUGAACUACUAAAGGUAAAGAACUUUUAGGCAGCCUCCUGAACUACCAGACAUCUAAAGCCUAAGAGAAGAGAAGCCAGGUAAAGGUAUUUUAAACUUUUUUUAUGAUGAGCUGUCUAAAGAGCCAUUACAAAAUGUUGCUAUAUGCUAUAUCCUCAGAACAUUAAGUUGAGACUGACAAUGACUGUCUUAAAUACCUGAUUAAAAUGGUUCUAACAAAUAGUAUGCACACAGGCCUUUACAUGGGACUAAUACCAAUGCCAUGGUAGUCACCUAUAAGAAGAGCACAGGUUUGAACCCUGUUGUGUUUCCCACUCAAUUCAGAAUUCACUGACACGCACUAGAGCACAUACUUUAUCUCUUCCAAGGUAAACUAUCAUGGGAUUUUCAAGUUCUUAUAGUAGAAAAAAAAAGGAUUUGUACUGCAAUUUAAUGGGUUCUUCCCAGGCCCGGCCCCAUACCUCCACUCAGUUUGGUGGAAGUUGGUUUGAGUUGUUUUUGCAUAAGCCUGCUGACAAAUAAAUCAACAAACAGACGCAGGUGAAAACAUUUCCUCCUUGGCUGAGGUAAUAACAAUAACAACUGCCCUUUCGUCUAGCUAUAGAGCAGUGGGAGUGAGAUGCUCUGAUUUGAAUUAGUCCCUGAAAGCGUCUGGGUGACUUGACAGCAUAUCAGUGAAGGUUAGGCCCACGAUGUCGUGUGUGGAGAAAAACUCUUGAGAUGGAAAUGAAGAAAAACACACUUCUGUACAUUACUUUUCAACAUCACUUAGUCUUGUUGAUUCGUUCGUGAUAAAUGGACUGACAAGAAAACCCAGGUUUGUUCCAAUUCAUUUUAUUAUUCGCACUUACAUAUUCAUUCUUCAGUGUUGCCAGAUACACACAGAAUCGCAAAGCACAUUCAGCCAAAGUCUUGUCAGUAGUCGACAGUCGUAUUUUAACUGUCAACAUUUCCUCUCUGCUAUUUGUGUAUUGAUGAUCCAUGUCUUUAUUGAUUUGGUGAUUUGCACAAUAAGAGGAUCGCAAAGCUUCUAAAACAAAUGCCUACAUGUGAAUUUAGUCUCGAUCUGUAAUUGAAGGUGUGUUGAGAGAAAGGACAGAGUCAGAAGGUUGAUAAGCACAGUCCUAUCUACGACUCGAUGGUCUAACUUCCUGCAUCUAACCUAGAUAUUUUUGCCUGUAGUUUAGAUAUUUUCGCCUGUAGUUUAACAUGCUGCUAUAAAUGUGUGGUCGUCUAAGCACUCCACGGGAUUGCACUGUAAAUCAAGGCCUCAGGUGGUACGUUAAUAAAGGGGUUUGUGUUAGCAAAAGUUGGGUGGCUUCAAUAGCACCAAGGUGACGCUGUCGAAAGGGAUUCAUUCAACAUUGCACCUACACUAAGACUCUUUGCUCAACAGAUAAACACAUAACUAGUGGCAAUGAGGACUAAAUAUAUAUGUAUCAGGUUCUCUUUUUUUCUAAUGAAUUUUCUCUUUUUUUUUUUCCAUGUAUUUAUUUUCUACGAUGGCACUGGCCUUCACAUGUUCUAAUCAGUUUUCAUCUACUCUUCCUUAUCGUCCUUGUCGGCUCCAUCACUGUGGCCUGAGUCUCUUUCCUUCUCCCUCCUGGACUCCUUCACCACCUGACAGGAAAGAAACGGUCCAAUUAGCUCAAAUAUUUUUUGCACAAUUUUUUGGUUACAUUAUUUUUGUAUCUCACAAUUUCCAUAAUGCAAAUAAUAACAGUUAUUUUUGCAUUAUGUCUUUUCAUUUUGUAUGAAUUGUUGUACCUCUCCAUCUCUAGUCUCAACUGUCUUUAUCAGCACAGUCCUCUUGCUCCCGCUCACUGGAGUUUGUUCAUAGUCUAUGAAAAGUCAGAUUAAAAUGCUGCUGAGUUUUUACAUGAAAAUACAUUUUCUUUCCACAAAUAGAUUUUUUUUCUCUGUUUUCGAUGAUUGAAUCAUCACUGAUUUGACGUAUAAUUGAAGUGUAUUAAAAGGAAGCCCUGA